rnacentral:tRNA from 1 species
CCCGCCUUAACUCAGUGGUAGAGUGCGCGGCUGUAGUAUGGUUUCUGCGACCUGGUCGCACAUACCGCGCAGGCACCGCGAUGUCCCCGGUUCGAGUCUGGGAGGCGGGA